AUCCGCCAGAAAAUUACGGGCGAAAGCCUAAAACUCAAAAGACUUGACGGUGUCUCAACCUACCUAGAGGAGCCUGUUCCAUAAUCGACAACCCCCGAUAAACCCAACCACCCUUAGAUUAUUCAGCCUAUAUACCGCCGUCGUCAGCUUACCUUUCUAAAGCCAUAAAGUAAGCUAAAUAGUUAUAACACUAACAAGUCAGGUCAAGGUGUAGCUUAUAGUGUGGAGGAAAUGGGCUACAUUUUUUAACUUAAACUAAACGAAUUUUACCCUGAAUUUUCAAAGGAAAUAAAGGCGGAUUUAGCAGUAAUCUAAACAAGAACAUUUAAAUUAA
rnacentral:rRNA from 1 species